rnacentral:rRNA from 1 species
GACGAACGCUGGCGGCGUGCUUAACACAUGCAAGUCGAACGGCAAGGCACUGCUUUUGUGGGGUGCUCGAGUGGCGAACGGGUGAGUAACACGUGAGUAACCUGACCUUGACUUUGGGAUAACUUCAGGAAACUGGGGCUAAUACCGGAUAGGAGCUCCUGCUGCAUGGUGGGGGUUGGAAAGUUUCGGCGGUUGGGGAUGGACUCGCGGGUUAUCGGCUGGUUGGUGGGGGAGUGGUUUACCCAGUCAUUGACGGGUAGCCGGCCUGGGAGGGUGACCGGCGACAUGGGGACUGAGAGACGGCCCAGAGUCCUAUAUGAGGCAGCAGUGGGGAAUAUUGCACAGCGGUAGGGAGCCUGAUGCAGAAACGCCGCGGUCGGGAUGACGGCCUGCUGGGUGUAAACAGCUUUAGCUUAUUACGAAGCGUUAGUGACGGUAAUGAGUAAAGAAGCACCGGCUAACUACGUG